rnacentral:rRNA from 1 species
UUGUGGUUAAAAAGCUCGUAGUUGGAUCUCGGCGGUCUGAGGGCGGUACGCUUGAUUGAGUGCUACUGCUCUAUAGGCCGUGGUUUUGCCAGAGGUCUCGGGGUGCUCUUAACCGAGUGUCCUGCGAUGCUGGCAGGUUUACUUUGAAAAAAUUAGAGUGCUCAAAGCAGGCUUUUACGCCUGAAUAUUCGUGCAUGGAAUAAUAGAAUAGGAAGUCGUUUCUAUUUUGUUGGUUUUCGGAAAUCGACUUAAUGAUUAAUAGGGACAGUCGGGGGCAUUUGUAUUCAAACGACAGAGGUGAAAUUCUUGGACCGUUUGAAGACAAACUACUGCGAAAGCAUUUGCCAAGAAUGUUUUCAUUAAUCAAGAACGAAAGUUAGAGGUUCGAAGGCGAUUAGAUACCGCCCUAGUUCUAACCAUAAACGAUGCCAGCUAGCGAUCUGCCGACGUUUUCUUUGUAGACUCGGCAGGAAGCUUCCGGGAAACCAAAGCAUUUGGGUUCCAGGGGAAGUAUGGUUGCAAAGCUGAAACUUAAAGGAAUUGACGGAAGGGCACCACCAGGAGUGGAGCCUGUGGCUUAAUUUGACUCAACACGGGAAAUCUCACCAGGCCCGGACACUGGAAGGAUUGACAGAUGGAUAGCU